rnacentral:tRNA from 1 species
GGCUCUGUACUUUAACCUAAAAGACCUGACUUGCACUUAGAAAAUGAAAACCCUUUUUUCCAGAGCCA